GACGGAAGGUGCAAGCGUUGCUCGGAAUCACUGGGCGUAAAGGGUGCGUAGGCGGCCGUGCAAGUCUGGCGUGAAAGCCCCGGGCUCAGCCCGGGAAGUGCGCUCGAAACUGCGCGGCUCGAGUGCCGGAGGGGAGAGUGGAAUUCCUGGUGUAGCGGUGAAAUGCGUAGAUAUCGUAAGGAAGACCAGUGGCGAAGGCGGGUCUCUGGACAGUUCCUGACGCUGAGGCACGAAGGCCAGGGGAGCAAACGGG
rnacentral:rRNA from 1 species